CGGGCUGGCCAGGUCAGCAUACAUGUCAUCGGAGUCUGCGCUACGCACCGAGCUGCUGCUGGACGAUGCCGAUGACACCGAUGACACGCUGCUCACGCUCAGCGAUCUGUGGCAAGAGACAACAGAUAGACAGGACAGAUAGACUGGAAAGGGAAGAUAGAGGGGACGACAUGCAGCAAAGGACCAUGGGUCGGAUCUGAGCCCAGCUCGCUGCGGUAAGGACUCAGCCUUGUUACAUGGGACACCCGCUCUACCAGAGCGGCUGCCACUGAAAGAGCUGCGCUGGGAGGAGUGGCUGGAGUAGGAGCUGAACGAGGAGGAGCGGCUGCGGGAGCGAGAUGACCCAGAGCCUGUAUAGGAUGAAGAGCGAGACGAAGACCUGAAACACACAGAUACAGAUUAAGAUUAAUGAACGGCCUCUUAAACACACCUGCAAACUCUAGUAGUGAAACAGGACAUCCCAACUUGAAGGAGGAGUUCUUACCGGGAGGAGUUGGACAGAGAGACAGAGGAGCCUGAGGGCCGAUGUCGCCGGCGGCCUCGUGGUGGGGAGCCGAGCCCAGGGCGUCUCCUGGGGGAUUUGGACCGACGCCAUGGGUCCUUCCACUCAUCUGGUCGCCUCAUAACUGGAACAACCUCUUUCUUUGAGGGAGGUUCCAUCGGCCUGCUGAGAAAAUUGAAAAUGGCUGGUUAGAGACAAGUGACAGUGCAAAGACAAACAGCUUUUUUUUUUUUAAAUCAUUCUAACAUCUACUAAUUUGAGAUAAACUGGGUGUACGUCACCAU